UGUAGAACCCCGGCACUUAGAAUCUUAACGCAUCCCGCCCCCUGAACAUUCCGUGACAGUAACGGCCCACCCUCCGGAAUAAACCAGCAGCUCGAAGCUAAUUUCAUGUCCCAUACAUCUGGGCAACCUGCAACCCCCCCGCCAAUCACAGGUGCUUGACAAAUGGGCUGGGAGCAGACCCUCUGGGGCAGCAGACUGCAUACUCCACUGACUAACUUGGGGCCUGGGAUCCAGGGUAAUUUCAGAGACCAACAUCAGUUCUGGGGUUCCACCCGAGUCCUAAAGGAAAGGUCCCGUCUGAAAAGAAAUGUGCUUUCCAGAAAGCCCCAGCUUUAUCAGGUAAAACGAUGUCCUGGAUUUUCCUGCCAGCAGGAAUCAGGAAGGCAGGCUCUGGAAUUCAAAGCGGUCGAGUGUGGUCGAGUGCAAUCAGCCGGGUCGGUCUCAACACACCGCCGUGCGCCGCGUGAAACACGGGGUCUCCCCGGGCAGGCCCCACACACCCCGAUCUCCUUUUCCCCAGCCCUCCUUUCGGCCCGUAAGUGAUGCCAAAGGUGACCGGACAAAUAGCGAGGGGGGAUUCACCGCCUGGAAGGUCUAGAGCGGAGAGAAAGAGCCAAACCAGCGUGGGUCUGAGACCCUCGGCGGCCAACCCCGGGGACCGGGUGUCAGCGGGGCUCACAGUCGCGACUGCCCUGGAAGGCUACCCCUCUGCACUCAUCAGCACGCGCUCAACACGAGGCAUGGGACGUGUCUUUAUUAAAGAUGCAAGCAAGCACAGACAGAUCAUGUGUGGUGCUCAGUAAUAUCCAUACAGUACUAAAAAUAGAAAAAUAGAAAAGAAAUUUCACAGAAAGCAGCCUCCCUCACAGAUACACAGAAAAGGCGCAGCCAAGCCCACCAUGCAAUGCCGCAUAAAACACCGGCGUGUGUCUGCACCUCUUCCAAGACAGCAACACAGCACAGAGACCCUUACACGUGGUGGCGACCCUCCAGCCACCACCGGGGGCGCCUGCCGGCCACGUAAACUUCCAAGACGACCCCGGUCCCGCCGCGGCGGCAACACGCACACCGGCGGCCGGCCCGGCCGCUGCCUGGCCGCGUCUCAUCGCUUCCCCAGCCAAAUGCGGGCCAGACGACGAAGCAAGGGGUGGGGCGGUGAAGACAUCACCUGUGCUCCCGCAGACACACUGGGGUGCAAAGGCCGUGCGCCCGCAGGUAUACUGGGGUGCAAAGGCGAGACGGCCAACCAGUCUGAGUGAAACAGGGCGUUGAACCUGCAAAGUGGCUCUCCCGUGGCCGGGAGCCUCGGGCGCACACAGAACAGACUGGCCGAUGAGCGAGUCUGAGGAACUUACUAUGGAGCAUCUGCUCGCCAGCAUAAAGAGCUCUCUGCCUCAGGGAACGAGAGUUCGGGGAAGGAAAACUCAGACUCCACGUACGCUCGGUCUCUGCGGCAGGUUCUCCGGGCACCGCGUGAGAGCCCGUCGGCCGGCCUCCCCGGCAGGUUCCCUCAAGGAACGUUCUGUUGGUUCCUCCGUAUGGGGUGUCUGAGGCCACCCGCUGGGAGGCCCUGGCAGAGGGCCAUCCUCCCUGCAGAUGCCGAGCGGACGGUCCCUGCUUUGUUUCAGGAAGGUUACAGAGCACUGAACUCAUCGAAAGGAACAGCGGCCCCCACACACCCAACUCCUCCUGUGUCUUCACCUCCGAACCGGGUGAGAACAGAACGGCUGUGCCAUACAGAACAGAACUACAAAAAUAAAGAGUCAACCCUGAGAUCUUCCUACCAUUUGGGUGUGGCUCGCUCCUGAGUCCCCUCGGAAAUGAACUUCUAUUUGGUUUACUGACAUUUAUUUAGAUUUCCAAGUGAAAAGCUCUAUAAAAUACAAUAAAUAAUGUGGGGUUGUAAAAGGCAGACGUUCUAGCUGCGUAUGUUACAGACUCUAUACUUAUGAUACAGGCCGUCAGAACCGCCAGCUUUACAACGCUUGUGGUCGCACACGGAGAGACUUCAAAGCCCAAAGGCGACACGGCUGCUCCGGAGGGGAAGCAGGGCCCCCUCUUCCUCCGGCGUCUCGGCCGUUCCCUCCCUCCCCCGGGCCUCACGCUGCUUCCGGAGUUCGUCCAGCAAGGAACAAAUGAGUGCAUACGGGACUUUUAGCUAGUAGAGCGUCUGGGUGCUGUGAGCAUGCAAGUUUGCCGUCGCCGUGAUUAUAAAUAAAAGUCAAACGUCAGGUCACACUUCCCCAUCUUCUGUUUGUACACCAAGUCAAACUUCUCGUUCAUGGAGACAGUGAAGAUGUCCUUCCACAGCCCGACUCUUCCUGCAACACAAACGAGAGCAGAGUGUGCUGAAUUCACUCGCCGCCGGGCCAGAUACCGAACCAAAGGGAGCCUUGGAAAUGGUUCUGGAAGGUUCCAGAUCUAUUUCUGGACCCUUCUGAGCUUGGCCUAGCGGGGGCAGGACAGGCCACCUGAACCCGUUUCCCUGAGGCUGGUCAUCCUGGUGUCCCUUCCCUGCUGGGUGGGGCCCACGGGCACGGAUACGCAGAGCCGAGGCUCGCAAGCAAGGCCUCGGCCCCUGUUCCCUGGCGGAUGCCCGGCACCCAGGCACAGGGCGGGGGAUUCACAACACCCUGGAGGACAGUCAGUCUCCGGGGAGCAGAUCUGCUGCUCUAGGCAUCGUGUGGACUUGGGUCCUCUGUGCCAGCAUUAUUCACUCGACUCGACAGCUCCGCCAAGUUGGCAUUUGCUUGUGGAGAAUUUAAAAAGGAAAAAAAGAAAAAAUCAUCCAAAAAGACAGAACCUUUCAUGGUGA